UUUUGUUUUUCCUUUCUCCACUGAGCCGAGGGUCGAUUGGAAACAGCCUCUCUACCCUUUCGGGUAGGGGUAAGGCCCGUCUACAUAUUAACCUCCCUAGACCCCACUUUGUGGGACAAGACUGGGUAGUUGUUGUUGUUGUUGUUGUAGAGUUCAUAGUCGCACAGAUUCAGAAGGAACUUAGAGAGAGAAUUAGCAAUCGUGCACAAAAAUGUUAUUGAAUAGAUAAACAUGUAUAAUCUUGCAAGUCUAUGGUUCUUCAGUGAAGAUCACUUUCACUUUUCAGCAUACGAUCUUCUUGUGUUAGGUUCUCCUGUAACAGCUUAGGUGCAACAACAAUAUGAAGCAAGAAAACUUACUAGGACUCCUAUAACAUCCUCUAAAAGCAAUGCAUUUUUGGAGGAUCCGACACGAAUGCGGCAGCAUUUUAAAGAGUCCGCGCAACAUAGCUAUAAAGAAAAGUUCCAUUAAGAACAGCAGUGAAUUACCUCAGAAUUCAGCAACAGUUUCCAAAAACGUCUCAAGGUCUUCUUCAGAUACAAUGACUCGUUUGCUACAGAAAUAGGAGCAGUAGUUACCUAUACCGAAGAAAAACCUGUUACUCUACAUAAGUUGAAGUAAACAGUUGAACAAUAGAUCAAGUUCUAAAAGUGUCAUUAAGUCCAGUCUUGACCAAGUCAUAUCAUGAUCAAAUAUUAUCUCAUAGAUGAGGCUUCCGUCAUUAAUAUAGACUCAGAAGUCAGAACUUCAUGUUUAAUCCUCCCUUUACCUUUUCUUUGUAGCUGUUAGUUGGCUGAUUUACCCAAGGUGCACACUCUAGCACUUUAGCUUCUUCAUCGAAGCACCACCUAAAUGACACGGAGC
rnacentral:lncRNA from 1 species